rnacentral:rRNA from 1 species
CCAGACUCCUACGGGAGGCAGCAGUGGGGGAUAUUGCACAAUGGGGGAAACCCUGAUGCAGCGACGCCGCGUGGGCGAAGAAGUAUUUCGGUAUGUAAAGCCCUAUCGGCAGGGAAGAAGCAAGACGGUACCUGACUAAGAAGCCCCGGCUAACUACGUGCCAGCAGCCGCGGUAAUACGUAGGGGGCAAGCGUUAUCCGGAUUUACUGGGUGUAAAGGGAGCGUAGACGGCAGCGCAAGUCUGGAGUGAAAUGCCGGGGCCCAACCCCGGAACUGCUUUGGAAACUGUGCAGCUGGAGUGCAGGAGAGGUAAGCGGAAUUCCUAGUGUAGCGGUGAAAUGCGUAGAUAUUAGGAGGAACACCAGUGGCGAAGGCGGCUUACUGGACUGUAACUGACGUUGAGGCUCGAAAGCGUGGGGAGCAAACAGGAUUAGAUACCCUUGUA